AUGUUCCGUCUAGCUCUGCUGCAGCUGCUCCUGGCAGCAGGAUGUUUUAAGUGUGAACAGCUGACACAGCCAGCCUCUGUAGCAAUGCAGCCAGGCCAGCAGCUCGCUAUCGACUGCCAGGUCUCUUAUUCUGUAGGUAGCCAUCACACUCACUGGAUCAGGCAGCCGUCAGGAAAAGGACUGGAGUGGAUUGGAGGGGCUCGUGUUGGAUAUGACACCUACCAGAAAGAUUCUCUAAAGAACAAAUUCAGUUUUAGCAUAGAGUCCUCCAGCAACACAGUUAAACUACAUGGAAAAAAUAUGCAGCCUGAGGAUACUGCUGUGUACUAUUGUGCGAGACAGUCACAAUGA